rnacentral:rRNA from 1 species
CCUACGGGUGGCUGCAGUGGAGAAUAUUGGACAAUGGGCGAAAGCCUGAUCCAGCCAUGCCGCGUGUGUGAAGAAGGCCUUCGGGUUGUAAAGCACUUUCAGUGGGGAAGAAAGCCUUGGGGCUAAUACCCUCGAGGAAGGACAUCACCCACAGAAGAAGCACCGGCUAACUCCGUGCCAGCAGCCGCGGUAAUACGGAGGGUGCGAGCGUUAAUCGGAAUUACUGGGCGUAAAGCGCGCGUAGGCGGUCUGAUAAGCCGGUUGUGAAAGCCCCGGGCUCAACCUGGGAACGGCAUCCGGAACUGUCAGGCUAGAGUGCAGGAGAGGAAGGUAGAAUUCCCGGUGUAGCGGUGAAAUGCGUAGAGAUCGGGAGGAAUACCAGUGGCGAAGGCGGCCUUCUGGACUGACACUGACGCUGAGGUGCGAAAGCGUGGGUAGCAAACAGGAUUAGAUACCCGGGUAGUC